GAGAGUUUGAUCCUGGCUCAGGAUGAACGCUGGCGGCGUGCCUAACACAUGCAAGUCGAGCGAAGCACUUCAUUAGAACUCUUCGGAGGGACGAGGAAGUGACUGAGCGGCGGACGGGUGAGUAACGCGUGGGCAACCUGCCUUACACAGGGGGAUAACAGUUAGAAAUGACUGCUAAUACCGCAUAAGACCACAUUGCCGCAUGGCAGGGUGGUAAAAACUCCGGUGGUGUAAGAUGGGCCCGCGUCUGAUUAGGUAGUUGGCAGGGUAGAGGCCUACCAAGCCUACGAUCAUUAGCCGGCCUGAGAGGGUGGACGGCCACAUUGGGACUGAGACACGGCCCAAACUCCUACGGGAGGCAGCAGUGGGGAAUAUUGCACAAUGGGGGAAACCCUGAUGCAGCGACGCCGCGUGAGUGAGGAAGUAUCUCGGUAUGUAAAGCUCUAUCAGCAGGGAAGAAAAUGACGGUACCUGACUAAGAAGCCCCGGCUAACUACGUG
rnacentral:rRNA from 1 species